rnacentral:misc_RNA from 1 species
CGCGAGGGAAACUUAGAAGCUCAGAACGCCUCGGCGGACAGUUCCAUCAUCGAGUCUGCGCCGCUCUGGACGCGCGAGAGACGCAGCGCCGUUUCGGGCAGCAUCCGUUCCAUGAAGAACUUGCCCGUCACCAGCUUCGACUUCAGGUAGGGCUGCUCGCCGGAUUCCGCCAGCUUGUCCUGCGCAACUUUCGCCAUACGCGCCCACAUGUAGCCGAUCGCGACCAGACCGAAGAGAUGCAUGUAGUCGGUGGACGCCGCACCGGC